rnacentral:rRNA from 1 species
AGGCAGCAGUGGGGAAUUUUGGACAAUGGGCGCAAGCCUGAUCCAGCCAUGCCGCGUGCGGGAAGAAGGCCUUCGGGUUGUAAACCGCUUUUGUCAGGGAAGAAAAGCUCCGGGUUAAUACCUUGGAGUCAUGACGGUACCUGAAGAAUAAGCACCGGCUAACUACGUGCCAGCAGCCGCGGUAAUACGUAGGGUGCAAGCGUUAAUCGGAAUUACUGGGCGUAAAGCGUGCGCAGGCGGCUUUGCAAGACAGAUGUGAAAUCCCCGGGCUUAACCUGGGAACUGCAUUUGUGACUGCAUGGCUUGAGUGCGGCAGAGGGGGAUGGAAUUCCGCGUGUAGCAGUGAAAUGCGUAGAUAUGCGGAGGAACACCGAUGGCGAAGGCAAUCCCCUGGGCCUGCACUGACGCUCAUGCACGAAAGCGUGGGGAGCAAACAGGAUUAGAUACCCUGGUAGUCCACGCCCUAAACGAUGUCAACUGGUUGUUGGACGGCUUGCUGUUCAGUAACGAAGCUAACGCGUGAAGUUGACCGCCUGGGGAGUACGGCCGCAAGGUUGAAACUCAAAAGAAUUGACGG